UACGUAGGUGACCAGCGUUGUCCGGAUUUACUGGGCGUAAAGAGCGCGCAGGCGGUCGUUCAAGUCGAGUGUGAAAGCCCCCGGCUCAACUGGGGAGGGUCACUCGAUACUGAUCGACUCGAAGGCAGGAGAGGGUAGUGGAAUUCCCGGUGUAGUGGUGAAAUGCGUAGAUAUCGGGAGGAACACCGGUGGCGAAGGCGGCAUCCUGGACCGGUAUUGACGCUGAGGCGCGAAAGCUAGGGGAGCAAACGGG
rnacentral:rRNA from 1 species